rnacentral:sRNA from 1 species
UUAUCGAGUGGCCGAGUGGUUAAAAGCGACAGACUGUAACUCUGUUGAAGUUUUUCUACGUAGGUUCGAAUCUGGUCUCGUCAUUCAUGCAAUUCCCCCGUCCAUCUCGCGGAGC